rnacentral:tRNA from 1 species
GGGGGUAUAGCACAGUGGUAGAGCUCUUGACUAGGUUACUAGAGGCUCUGGGUUUGAUCCCCAGGACCACCA